rnacentral:rRNA from 1 species
AGUGAACGCUGGCGGUAGGCCUAACACAUGCAAGUCGAACGGCAGCACAGUAAGAGCUUGCUCUUACGGGUGGCGAGUGGCGGACGGGUGAGGAAUACAUCGGAAUCUACUUUUUCGUGGGGGAUAACGUAGGGAAACUUACGCUAAUACCGCAUACGACCUACGGGUGAAAGCAGGGGAUCUUCGGACCUUGCGCGAUUGAAUGAGCCGAUGUCGGAUUAGCUAGUUGGCGGGGUAAAGGCCCACCAAGGCGACGAUCCGUAGCUGGUCUGAGAGGAUGGUCAGCCACACUGGAACUGAGACACGGUCCAGACUACUACGGGAGGCAGCAGUGGGGAAUAUUGGACAAUGGGCGCAAGCCUGAUCCAGCCAUACCGCGUGGGUGAAGAAGGCCUUCGGGUUGUAAAGCCCUUUUGUUGGGAAAGAAAAGCAGCAGGUUAAUACCCCGCUGUUCUGACGGUACCCAAAGAAUAAGCACCGGCUAACUUCGUG